GGAGUAUAAGUUCAUGAGCAAGUAUGUUAAGGUGGGAACUAUCAAGAAGCCUGUUCCAGUAACUGAUGAAGCUGCUUCCGCUGGUGAACCUGCAGAAGCUAAAGAAGCUGAUGUUGCUAAGCCUGCAGAAGAUGGUCCAUCAGCUGAUGGAGCUGUGGAACACACUAAUGCUGAAGUCAAGGAGUAAUAUUAAGAUUUAGGAACAUGAUUAGAAAUCCAGGAAGCAAUUACUUAUGGAGAUGCCAAGAGUGAGUGAUGUUUACUCGGAUGCAUGUGUGGGGUGAACUUUGUUUCGCAAUUUAGUUUACUU
rnacentral:lncRNA from 1 species